rnacentral:rRNA from 1 species
AGUACGGCGAGUGAAGCGGCAAAAGCUCAAAUUUGAAAUCUGGUACCUUCGGUGCCCGAGUUGUAAUUUGGAGAGGGCAACUUUGGGGCCGUUCCUUGUCUAUGUUCCUUGGAACAGGACGUCAUAGAGGGUGAGAAUCCCGUGUGGCGAGGAGUGCGGUUCUUUGUAAAGUGCCUUCGAAGAGUCGAGUUGUUUGGGAAUGCAGCUCUAAGUGGGUGGUAAAUUCCAUCUAAAGCUAAAUAUUGGCGAGAGACCGAUAGCGAACAAGUACAGUGAUGGAAAGAUGAAAAGAACUUUGAAAAGAGAGUGAAAAAGUACGUGAAAUUGUUGAAAGGGAAGGGCAUUUGAUCAGACAUGGUGUUUUGUGCCCUCUGCUCCUUGUGGGUAGGGGAAUCUCGCAUUUCACUGGGCCAGCAUCAGUUUUGGUGGCAGGAUAAAUCCAUAGGAAUGUAGCUUGCCUCGGUAAGUAUUAUAGCCUGUGGGAAUACUGCCAGCUGGGACUGAGGACUGCGACGUAAGUCAA